GCAGCCGCCGCGGUAAUACGUAGGGUGCGAGCGUUAAUCGGAAUUACUGGGCGUAAAGCGUGCGCAGGCGGUUCGUUAAGACAGAUGUGAAAUCCCCGGGCUUAACCUGGGAUCUGCAUUUGUGACUGGCGAGCUAGAGUAUGGCAGAGGGGGGUAGAAUUCCACGUGUAGCAGUGAAAUGCGUAGAGAUGUGGAGGAAUACUGAUGGCGAAGGCAGCCCCCUGGGCCAAUACUGACGCUCAUGCACGAAAGCGUGGGGAGCAAACAGGAUUAGAUACCCCCGUAGUCCCUGUCUCUUAUAC
rnacentral:rRNA from 1 species